rnacentral:rRNA from 1 species
UGGAGAUUAAGCCAUGCAUGUCUAAGUAUAAGUUAUAUAUGGCGAAACUGCGAAUGGCUCAUUAAAACAGUUAUAAUUUAUUUGAUGAUUUUUUUACAUGGAUAACCGUGGGAAACUGGGGCUAAUACAUGCGUAAAUGCCGCAAGGCUGUAUUUAUUAGUUUCAAUCCAAUAUAACUCCGUUAUUUUGCGAGGAAUCAUAAUAACUAAUCAGAGCGUAGCAAUACGCCGCAUCAUUCAAGUUUCUACCCUAUCAGCUCUCGAUGGUAGUGUAUUGGACUACCAUGGCAAUUACGGGUAACGGGGAAUUGGGGUUCGAUUCCGGAGAAGGAGCCUGAGAAACGGCUACUAUUUCUAAGGAAGGCAGCAGGCGCGUAAAUUACCCAAUCCUGACUCAGGGAGGUAGUUAAUAGAAAUAACUUAGAUCGGCUCUAUGAGUAUUGAUCGUGUAAU